CUAGCGACUUCAGAGUUUGAUCCUGGCUCAGGACGAACGCUGGCGGCGUGCUUAACACAUGCAAGUCGAACGAGGAUGUUGGAGAUGAGAGCUUCGGCUGGAUUCACUGACAUUCGAGUGGCGGACGGGUGAGUAACGCGUGAACAAUCUGUCCCAGACAGGGGGAUAACACUUGGAAACAGGUGCUAAUACCGCAUAAGACCACGGGAGGACAUCCUUCAGAGGUAAAAGGAGCGAUCCGGUUUGGGGUGAGUUCGCGUCCGAUUAGAUAGUUGGUGAGGUAACGGCCCACCAAGUCGACGAUCGGUAGCCGACCUGAGAGGGUGAUCGGCCACAUUGGAACUGAGAGACGGUCCAA
rnacentral:rRNA from 1 species